rnacentral:rRNA from 1 species
AUGCGUUGUUGGGUAGGGGAGCGUUCUGUAAGCCUGCGAAGGUGUGCUGUGAGGCAUGCUGGAGGUAUCAGAAGUGCGAAUGCUGACAUAAGUAACGAUAAAGCGGGUGAAAAGCCCGCUCGCCGGAAGACCAAGGGUUCCUGUCCAACGUUAAUCGGGGCAGGGUGAGUCGACCCCUAAGGCGAGGCCGAAAGGCGUAGUCGAUGGGAAACAGGUUAAUAUUCCUGUACUUGGUGUUACUGCGAAGGGGGGACGGAGAAGGCUAUGUUGGCCGGGCGACGGUUGUCCCGGUUUAAGCGUGUAGGCUGGUUUUCCAGGCAAAUCCGGAAAACUAAGGCUGAGGCGUGAUGACGAGGCACUACGGUGCUGAAGCAACAAAUGCCCUGCUUCCAGGAAAAGCCUCUAAGCAUCAGGUAACAUCAAAUCGUACCCCAAACCGACACAGGUGGUCAGGUAGAGAAUACCAAGGCGCUUGAGAGAACUCGGGUGAAGGAACUAGGCAAAAUGGUGCCGUAACUUCGGGAGAAGGCACGCUGAUAUGUAGGUGAAGUCCCUCGCGGAUGGAGCUGAAAUCAGUCGAAGAUACCAGCUGGCUGCAACUGUUUAUUAAAAACACAGCACUGUGCAAACACGAAAGUGGACGUAUACGGUGUGACGCCUGCCCGGUGCCGGAAGGUUAAUUGAUGGGGUCAGCGCAAGCGAAGCUCUUGAUCGAAGCCCCGGUAAACGGCGGCCGUAACUAUAACGGUCCUAAGGUAGCGAAAUUCCUUGUCGGGUAAGUUCCGACCUGCACGAAUGGCGUAAUGAUGGCCAGGCUGUCUCCACCCGAGACUCAGUGAAAUUGAACUCGCUGUGAAGAUGCAGUGUACCCGCGGCAAGACGGAAAGACCCCGUGAACCUUUACUAUAGCUUGACACUGAACAUUGAGCCUUGAUGUGUAGGAUAGGUGGGAGGCUUUGAAGUGUGGACGCCAGUCUGCAUGGAGCCGACCUUGAAAUACCACCCUUUAAUGUUUGAUGUUCUAACGUUGACCCGUAAUCCGGGUUGCGGACAGUGUCUGGUGGGUAGUUUGACUGGGGCGGUCUCCUCCUAAAGAGUAACGGAGGAGCACGAAGGUUGGCUAAUCCUGGUCGGACAUCAGGAGGUUAGUGCAAUGGCAUAAGCCAGCUUGACUGCGAGCGUGACGGCGCGAGCAGGUGCGAAAGCAGGUCAUAGUGAUCCGGUGGUUCUGAAUGGAAGGGCCAUCGCUCAACGGAUAAAAGGUACUCCGGGGAUAACAGGCUGAUACCGCCCAAGAGUUCAUAUCGACGGCGGUGUUUGGCACCUCGAUGUCGGCUCAUCACAUCCUGGGGCUGAAGUAGGUCCCAAGGGUAUGGCUGUUCGCCAUUUAAAGUGGUACGCGAGCUGGGUUUAGAACGUCGUGAGACAGUUCGGUCCCUAUCUGCCGUGGGCGCUGGAGAACUGAGGGGGGCUGCUCCUAGUACGAGAGGACCGGAGUGGACGCAUCACUGGUGUUCGGGUUGUCAUGCCAAUGGCACUGCCCGGUAGCUAAAUGCGGAAGAGAUAAGUGCUGAAAGCAUCUAAGCACGAAACUUGCCCCGAGAUGAGUUCUCCCUGACUCCUUGAGAGUCCUGAAGGAACGUUGAAGACGACGACGUUGAUAGGCCGGGUGUGUAAGCGCAGCGAUGCGUUGAGCUAACCGGUACUAAUGAACCGUGAGGCUUAACCUU